UACGGAGGAUCCAAGCGUUAUCCGGAUUUAUUGGGUUUAAAGGGUGCGUAGGCGGCUUUGUAAGUCAGUGGUGAAAUAUGUCAGCUCAACUGAGAGGGUGCCAUUGAUACUGCAGAGCUUGAGUACAGAUGAGGUAGGCGGAAUUGACGGUGUAGCGGUGAAAUGCUUAGAUAUCGUCAAGAACACCUAUAGCGAAGGCAGCUUACUAGGCUGUAACUGACGCUGAGGCACGAAAGUGUGGGGAUCAAACAGG
rnacentral:rRNA from 1 species